CCUUACAUAGUACCCCUAAUCUGGCGUUUGUGUGGCGUUUUUCUCUUUCAAAUAUCUUGAUGAGCUGUUUCAUUUUCCACUCUUCAAUAGCCUGUCCUCACCUCAUGGGCCCUUUAGAAUUGUAUUAUUUGAUCUUGUGAGUAUGCUGAAUGCACUCACAAUGGGCGCACCUUUUGAGGAUUCUCAGACGAACAUAUCUUCUUCUUCGGCGGAGACUGAUGGGAACUUGAUAGUACAUCAACGGAGCUCGUUGGGACAAGUGUUGGCAUUGGCAUUGGCCCACGAAGUAGAAGUAGUUUGCAGACCGUGCACACCAUGCACAAAUCAAUAAGGCGACAUGUGAAAAAAAGCUGCUCUAGACACUUCAUCAUCAAAUUGUGUGUACCUCAAAUGAUACUGAGUAAUAUCUUACGGAGUUGAUGAUGAUGUGGACUAUAUACGUGGGAUGUAGAUCAUCUAAUGCGAAAUGCACGCGUUGUUUGUCUAUCGUGCCAUUGGGACGAUAGGAGAAGAAAGAGUGAAACAUAACAAGAAUGAAGAGAGAUGAAGGCGAAGAGAUUUGAGUGCAAAAAACAACGAAAGGUGGCAUCAAAACACAACAACUUUUUGAUGCAAAAAGUCGAUAACGCCUUGAGUGGUUGCUUACUGCAUGAGGCGCGCUUGGACCUAACAAUCAAAAUUUCAUGUUUCCCCUGCAUAUUUUGCUACCAACGAUCUUGUUAUAAUCUUCUUGGCUUAUCAUUAAUCUAUUGAUUUAUUUC